GCCAGGCAUGGUGGCCGGUGCCUGUAAUCCCAGCUACCUGGGAGGCUGAGGCAGGAGAAUUGCUUGAACCUGGGAGGUGGAGGGUGCAGUGAGCCGAGAUCAUGCCACUGUACUCCAGCCUGGGUGACAGAGCAAGACUCUGUCUCUA
rnacentral:SRP_RNA from 2 species